rnacentral:rRNA from 1 species
UGAGGAACAUGACCUUCGGCGGGGGAUAGCCGGCCCAACGGCCGGGUAAUACCGCGUACGACCACAUGGGGACAUCCCUGAGUGGUGAAAGCAGCAAUGCGCCGAUGGAGUGCCUCGCGGCCUAUCAGCUAGUUGGUGGGGUAAUGGCUCACCAAGGCGACGACGGGUAGCUGGUCUGAGAGGAUGGCCAGCCACAUUGGGACUGAGACACGGCCCAGACCUNUACCGGGAG